UACGUAGGUGGCAAGCGUUGUCCGGAUUUACUGGGCGUAAAGCGUCCGCAGGCGGUCUGUUAAGUUGGGUGUGAAAGGUUGGGGCUCAACCCCAAAGCGGCAUCCAAUACUGGCAGACUGGAGUCUCGGAGAGGAGAACGGAACUGCGCGUGUAGCGGUGAAAUGCGUUGAGACGCGCAGGAACACCAGUGGCGAAGGCGGUUCUCUGGACGAGUACUGACGCUGAGGGACGAAAGCCAGGGGAGCGAACGGG
rnacentral:rRNA from 1 species